CCUGCUGCCGUGCACCCGCCGCACUGAACCAUUUCUCCACGGGCUUGACUUGAAUAUGCGACUUGGGCCUGAUGGGCUUUCUGGUUGUGCUUCUGUAUCAAUAGGUGAAGCCCAGCCCGAUACCAAAUUGACGGAUAUAUGACCCAAUGGAAGAUCCGAAACCGAAUCUCGGUCCGGUUGACAUUUCCCACCCAACCAAUCCUCUCUCUCUCCCUCCCCCUCCUCUCUCUGUCUUUCUCUCGUCGUUGACUUUUCCCUCGCUUUCUUGCUUACCGUACAGUACGGCCAUUGGAGGAACAGAUUGAUUUCAUCUGCAAAGACAAUGAUUUUCUCGACUGGAAAUUGCAAACACUGUUGAAAUGUAAAUGAGGAUUUUUUAGUCUUGUUCAAAGUUAUCUAUCUGCUUUGCCAGUAGAAUUUUUCUGCUAGCACCGUCGUCUCCAUAACAGGUGAAGCAGACUCCAUGAACGCCACAAACCAAGCUUUUGCUUCACUGAGAGAUGGCUGCUUUAGUCUCUUGUAGCAGCGAAACCGUGCUGGCUCGGAGCAUUUGUGCAGUUAUCGUCAAGGGUAGAUGGAGCUCCCUGAAUAGCAACAUCUGUUCAAGCCUCACCUCAACGGUCAUCCACCAGGUUCUCUUGGACCUCUCAAAUCACCUGGGCAGUCCCUCCCUUUCAUGGGCAUUCUUCAAGUACGUGGAAACUUUCCCGAAUUACAAGCACCCUUUGCAGUCCUCUUGGACCAUGAUCCACAUUUUAGCUAAGCACAGACACUACAGGAGUGCACAGGACCUGCUCGACAAAAUUGCGCACAGAGACUUCUUAUCUUCUCCGUCGGUUUUGAGCUCUUUGGUGAGGGCACACGGUGACCCCGAUGUUAAUUCGCAUGUCUUGAGCUGGCUUGUGAUAUUGUAUGCUAAUUCGAGAAUGACCCAAGAUGCAUUGCAAGUGUUUGAGCACAUGAGAGUUUCUGCCUUGAAGCCUCAUUUGCAUGCUUGUACUGUGUUACUGAACUGUUUAGCUAAGGAAAGGUUGACCGACCUGGUGUGGAAAGUGUAUAAGAAGAUGGUCAGAAUCGGGAUCGUUCCAAACACUCAUAUAUAUAAUGCGCUGAUUCAUGCUUGUAGCAAGUCAGCAGACCCUGAGAAGGCCGAAAAACUAGUGGAAGAAAUGGAAGCAAGAGGCAUUUUUCCUGACCUUUUCACGUACAAUACACUGAUAUCGCUGUACUGCAAGAAGGGCAUGCACUAUGAAGCUCUGUCUGUUCAAGAUAGAAUGGAAAGAGGAGGAGUGAGUCCUGAUCUCGUAACUUAUAACUCACUUAUAUACGGCUUUUGCAGGGAAGGCAGGAUGAGAGAGGCUGUGAGGCUCUUUCGGGAAAUCAAAGGUGCUGAUCCUAAUCACGUGACGUACACGACUCUAAUUGAUGGGUACUGCAGAACAAAUGACCUUGAGGAGGCUCUAAGAUUGCUUGAGGUGAUGAUCGCUAGAGGGCUUUAUCCCAGUGUUUUCACUUACAACUCGAUCCUGCGGAAGUUGUGCGAAGAAGGCAGGAUGAGGGAUGCAAACAAGCUUUUGAAUGAGAUGAGUGAGCGGAGAGUUGAACCCGACAAUGUCACAUGUAACACCCUGAUUAAUGCGUAUUGCAAGAUUCGAGAUCUGAGAUCUGCAUUAAAGGUGAAAAACAGGAUGCGCGAGUCUGGAUUAAAGCUUGACCAGUUCACUUAUAAGGCACUCAUUCAUGGCUUCUGCAGAGUUCUAGAUAUGGAUAAUGCGAAAGAGUUGCUAAUCUCCAUGAUUGAUGCUGGAUUUUCGCCUAGCUAUUGCACCUAUUCUUGGAUUAUAGAUGGAUAUUGUGAACUCAACGAUGAAGAUGCAGUUCUACGACUUCUAGAUGAUUUUGCAGGGAGAGGUCUCUGCAUUGGUUUGUCAGUAUACAGGGCUCUGAUUCGGAGGUUUUGUAAGAGAGAAAGGAUUGCUUCUGCUGAAAGAGUCUUCAGUUUGAUGCAAGAGAAGGGUAUAUCAGGGGACAGCAUUAUAUAUACCAGCCUUGCGUAUGCUUAUUUGAAAGCAGGAGAUGUCAAAUCCUCAUCAGCAAUGCUUGAUGAUAUGUAUAAGAAGAGGUUGAUGAUAACUCUCAAGAUCUACAGAAGUUUUAAUGCUUCCUAUGCUUGUGAAAGUCACAUCUUGCGUCUCUUUUGGGACAAUCUCGUUAGCAGGGGUCUCAUAUCGAAAGCUAUAUUGAAGGAUAUAGAGCAGUCUGACUUGCUUUUGUAGAGUAACUGAUUAAGGGCUCAGUGGUAGAGAUAUAUUGAACUGUGAGUACGCAAAUGGGCCGCUAGCAUCAAAAUCAUCAAAUUUGGACUGAAGUUGGGUCUCACGAUUUACAUGCCACUGGGGCUGAGGUUACAACUUUCAGUACAUCAUUCCUCAGCGUUGCAUUGAGAUUGAAAGCUCGUGGUAUCUCUCCAUAAGAGGGGCAUAAACUGUUUAUGGAGAUUUGGAUCUGGAGAUGCAUCUCAUUGUACCUGUCUGAUGGAACUGAAAAAACUGCGGGCCGCUGUCAGGGACAAGUUUGUUUUGAGGCAGAAGGCAAAGCAGGAGUGAGGAGGUUUAGUAGGGCACAGCCGCUAUAGAUUUGAAUCAUGUUGCAGAGAGCAUCCCAAGUGAACCAAAUGAUUAUGUUGGUAUUCUGAAAGAUGCUACCAGGAAAUGUGCAGCUUAUGAACACUGGAAUGAGUGUCAUUCCAGCCUUUAUAUAUGCUAAAACACAGACAGACCAUAGAUGUGUCAUUUUCAUGGACAAAAAUGGGAGAGGAAACAUGCAAUAAUGAAGACAAACAGCUCGCGGAGAAACAUAUUAUUGGUUUCAGAAAAAAAUCUAACCUUAUGGUCCUUAACUUGCGGUGGGAAUUCUCUUCUUGAUAAGAUACAUAGAGAUCCCUUAUUUUCAGUAGCUACUUAGUUUGCCCAUGCAUUUUCUUUUCCACCUUUGGCCAUGGAAUGGUCCUCAGCACUUACCCACAGACAACUAAUGGUGGGGGGUUAGCUGUGGAAUUUGGUAUAUUUUGUCAGGUGAGACGCACAGCUUAAAGUGACUGAAGAAUUGUACUUUUGCUAUUAAGAUAUUGUUGAGAGGGCCACAGAGAGUUACUAACCCGAGGCCCUUAUGGAGGGUUUUGGUGACCAAAUCCAUCAUCCCCUCGAGCCCCUUCCUUCCCAUCGAGAUUCUUUCUCACAUUCUUGUCUCUUUAUAUUAUAAUAAUAGACAAUAAAUAUAUGAUGUUUAUGUUC